rnacentral:rRNA from 1 species
UACGGGGGGAGCAAGCGUUGUUCGGAUUUACUGGGCGUAAAGGGCGCGUAGGCGGCCAGCACAAGUCAGUUGUGAAAUCUCCGGGCUUAACUCGGAAAGGUCAACUGAUACUGUGCGGCUAGAGUGCAGAAGGGGCAACUGGAAUUCUCGGUGUAGCGGUGAAAUGCGUAGAUAUCGAGAGGAACACCUGUGGCGAAGGCGGGUUGCUGGGCCGACACUGACGCUGAUGCGCGAAAGCCAGGGGAGCGAACGGG